GCGAGUUUGGCCGAGUGGUUAAGGCGUUGUGUUUAGGCCGCAAUGUGGAAACACGCGCAGGUUCGAUCCCUGCAGCUCGCA